GGGUUGUGAGGUUAAGCGACUAAGCGUACACGGUGGAUGCCCUGGCAGUCAGAGGCGAUGAAGGACGUGCUAAUCUGCGAUAAGCGUCGGUAAGGUGAUAUGAACCGUUAUAACCGGCGAUUUCCGAAUGGGGAAACCCAGUGUGUUUCGACACACUAUCAUUAACUGAAUCCAUAGGUUAAUGAGGCGAACCGGGGGAACUGAAACAUCUAAGUACCCCGAGGAAAAGAAAUCAACCGAGAUUCCCCCAGUAGCGGCGAGCGAACGGGGAGCAGCCCAGAGCCUGAAUCAGUGUGUGUGUUAGUGGAAGCGUCUGGAAAGGCGUGCGAUACAGGGUGACAGCCCCGUACACAAAAAUGCACAUAUUGUGAGCUCGAUGAGUAGGGCGGGACACGUGGUAUCCUGUCUGAAUAUGGGGGGACCAUCCUCCAAGGCUAAAUACUCCUGACUGACCGAUAGUGAACCAGUACCGUGAGGGAAAGGCGAAAAGAACCCCGGCGAGGGGAGUGAAAAAGAACCUGAAACCGUGUACGUACAAGCAGUGGGAGCACGCUUAGGCGUGUGACUGCGUACCUUUUGUAUAAUGGGUCAGCGACUUAUAUUCUGUAGCAAGGUUAACCGAAUAGGGGAGCCGAAGGGAAACCGAGUCUUAACUGGGCGUUAAGUUGCAGGGUAUAGACCCGAAACCCGGUGAUCUAGCCAUGGGCAGGUUGAAGGUUGGGUAACACUAACUGGAGGACCGAACCGACUAAUGUUGAAAAAUUAGCGGAUGACUUGUGGCUGGGGGUGAAAGGCCAAUCAAACCGGGAGAUAGCUGGUUCUCCCCGAAAGCUAUUUAGGUAGCGCCUCGUGAAUUCAUCUCCGGGGGUAGAGCACUGUUUCGGCAAGGGGGUCAUCCCGACUUACCAACCCGAUGCAAACUGCGAAUACCGGAGAAUGUUAUCACGGGAGACACACGGCGGGUGCUAACGUCCGUCGUGAAGAGGGAAACAACCCAGACCGCCAGCUAAGGUCCCAAAGUCAUGGUUAAGUGGGAAACGAUGUGGGAAGGCCCAGACAGCCAGGAUGUUGGCUUAGAAGCAGCCAUCAUUUAAAGAAAGCGUAAUAGCUCACUGGUCGAGUCGGCCUGCGCGGAAGAUGUAACGGGGCUAAACCAUGCACCGAAGCUGCGGCAGCGACGCUUAUGCGUUGUUGGGUAGGGGAGCGUUCUGUAAGCCUGCGAAGGUGUGCUGUGAGGCAUGCUGGAGGUAUCAGAAGUGCGAAUGCUGACAUAAGUAACGAUAAAGCGGGUGAAAAGCCCGCUCGCCGGAAGACCAAGGGUUCCUGUCCAACGUUAAUCGGGGCAGGGUGAGUCGACCCCUAAGGCGAGGCCGAAAGGCGUAGUCGAUGGGAAACAGGUUAAUAUUCCUGUACUUGGUGUUACUGCGAAGGGGGGACGGAGAAGGCUAUGUUGGCCGGGCGACGGUUGUCCCGGUUUAAGCGUGUAGGCUGGUUUUCCAGGCAAAUCCGGAAAAUCAAGGCUGAGGCGUGAUGACGAGGCACUACGGUGCUGAAGCAACAAAUGCCCUGCUUCCAGGAAAAGCCUCUAAGCAUCAGGUAACAUCAAAUCGUACCCCAAACCGACACAGGUGGUCAGGUAGAGAAUACCAAGGCGCUUGAGAGAACUCGGGUGAAGGAACUAGGCAAAAUGGUGCCGUAACUUCGGGAGAAGGCACGCUGAUAUGUAGGUGAAGUCCCUCGCGGAUGGAGCUGAAAUCAGUCGAAGAUACCAGCUGGCUGCAACUGUUUAUUAAAAACACAGCACUGUGCAAACACGAAAGUGGACGUAUACGGUGUGACGCCUGCCCGGUGCCGGAAGGUUAAUUGAUGGGGUCAGCGCAAGCGAAGCUCUUGAUCGAAGCCCCGGUAAACGGCGGCCGUAACUAUAACGGUCCUAAGGUAGCGAAAUUCCUUGUCGGGUAAGUUCCGACCUGCACGAAUGGCGUAAUGAUGGCCAGGCUGUCUCCACCCGAGACUCAGUGAAAUUGAACUCGCUGUGAAGAUGCAGUGUACCCGCGGCAAGACGGAAAGACCCCGUGAACCUUUACUAUAGCUUGACACUGAACAUUGAGCCUUGAUGUGUAGGAUAGGUGGGAGGCUUUGAAGUGUGGACGCCAGUCUGCAUGGAGCCGACCUUGAAAUACCACCCUUUAAUGUUUGAUGUUCUAACGUUGACCCGUAAUCCGGGUUGCGGACAGUGUCUGGUGGGUAGUUUGACUGGGGCGGUCUCCUCCUAAAGAGUAACGGAGGAGCACGAAGGUUGGCUAAUCCUGGUCGGACAUCAGGAGGUUAGUGCAAUGGCAUAAGCCAGCUUGACUGCGAGCGUGACGGCGCGAGCAGGUGCGAAAGCAGGUCAUAGUGAUCCGGUGGUUCUGAAUGGAAGGGCCAUCGCUCAACGGAUAAAAGGUACUCCGGGGAUAACAGGCUGAUACCGCCCAAGAGUUCAUAUCGACGGCGGUGUUUGGCACCUCGAUGUCGGCUCAUCACAUCCUGGGGCUGAAGUAGGUCCCAAGGGUAUGGCUGUUCGCCAUUUAAAGUGGUACGCGAGCUGGGUUUAGAACGUCGUGAGACAGUUCGGUCCCUAUCUGCCGUGGGCGCUGGAGAACUGAGGGGGGCUGCUCCUAGUACGAGAGGACCGGAGUGGACGCAUCACUGGUGUUCGGGUUGUCAUGCCAAUGGCACUGCCCGGUAGCUAAAUGCGGAAGAGAUAAGUGCUGAAAGCAUCUAAGCACGAAACUUGCCCCGAGAUGAGUUCUCCCUGACUCCUUGAGAGUCCUGAAGGAACGUUGAAGACGACGACGUUGAUAGGCCGGGUGUGUAAGCGCAGCGAUGCGUUGAGCUAACCGGUACUAAUGAACCGUGAGGCUUAACCUUACAACGCCGAAGCUGUU
rnacentral:rRNA from 1 species